UGGGGAAUAUUGGACAAUGGGCGCAAGCCUGAUCCAGCCAUGCCGCGUGAGUGAUGACGGCCUUAGGGUUGUAAAGCUCUGUUGUCAGGGAAGCGUACCGUUCGAAGAGGGCGGUACCUUGACGGUACCUGACGAGAAAGCCCCGGCUAACUAC
rnacentral:rRNA from 1 species